rnacentral:lncRNA from 1 species
AUCCCCAACCUUUUGCUGCUGCUCUGCCCUCACCACCCAGCCGCCUCCCUUGCAGUUUCAACAGCUCCUGCUCAGGUAAGCCCUCCCUCUUCCCGACAACCCCCACCCCUCUCCUCCAAGGCUAUCCACUCCCAACCUCUACUGCCCCCUCGUAAGUGUGAGCUCCCUGAGGGUAGGAACGUCAUCAUCCCGUGUGGCUCCCACCACAUCCCUGGUGCCCUGCACUGGGUCUGCUUUACAGAAACACACAGGUAAGCACACAAAUGGCCUCAGGCACGUCACGGACACCUCCUGCCAUGAACCAGACACUGUUCCAAGAGUUUCACACACGUCAUUUUGUUUAAUUCUUAAAACCACUCUCUGGGGUAGACACCAAUCAUGUCCCCUUUGUAGGUAUGGAAGCUGAGAUAAGGCUCCAUACAUGCAAGCAUGGGGUCCUCUCGUCAGCCAAACACACUCCUUUAAUCUGACUUAAAAUGACUAUAAGCGGCUUCUCCAGGCUCUUCAGCCGCUCCCACAACCCCCAGCGCAUUUUGGGUUUUGGCCUCUCUGAUGCAAGUCUUACUCAUGCCUUCUGUGCUCCUUAUUGACUUCUAUCUUGAUUGUAUCCUUUUUGCAUCAGUUUCAUAACUGCCCCUAUGGGGUUAGAACUCAUUAGAGAGCUGCCAGUGCAGCCACUCUGUUGGAGGGGACAAGUGGAGGUGUCUGUCUGUUAUUUUCAGUAAGCUCGAGCUGUAACGACACAGGGUGAGUCCCAGGGAGAAGUGCAUCCAGUCAUCCGGAGGCCGCCUCUUCCAAAACCCUGGGCCACGGAACCGGUAGUGUCCAUCUUUCCCCUGAAUUUUAAGAAAUGAGCAUCUUAAUCCGCUGGGAUACAGGGAGGAGAACAUCACACACGAGGGCCUGUUGAGGGGUAGGGGCAGCGGGUGGGAGAACAUUAGGACAAAUACCUAAUGCAUGCAGGAC